rnacentral:rRNA from 1 species
AUUGAACGCUGGCGGCAGGCCUAACACAUGCAAGUCGAGCGGAUGAACGGAGCUUGCUCCUGGUUUCAGCGGCGGACUGGUGAGUGAUGCCUAGGAAUCUGCCUGUUUGUUGUGUAUAACGUCCUGAAACGGGCGCUAAUACCGCAUUCGUCCUGAGGAAGAAAGUGGGGGAUCUUCGGACCUCACGCUCUCAGAUGAGCCUAGGUCGGAUUAGCUAGUUGGUGGGGUAAAGGCCUACCAAGGCGACGAUCCGUAACUGGUCUGAGAGGAUGAUCAGUCACACUGGAACUGAGACACGGUCCAGACUCCUACGGGAGGCAGCAGUGGGGAAUAUUGGACAAUGGGCGAAAGCCUGAUCCAGCCAUGCCGCGUGUGUGAAGAAGGUCUUCGGAUUGUAAAGCACUUUAAGUUGGGAGGAAGGGCAGUAAGUUAAUACCUUGCUGUUUUGACGUUACCAAAAGAAUAAGCACCGGCUAACUUCGUG